UAGCGAAGGGGACUAGCGUUGUUCGGAAUACUGGGCGUAAAGCGCACGUAGGCGGAUUUGUAAGUCAGGGGUGAAAUCCCGGGGCUCAACCUCGGAACUGCCUUUGAUACUGCAAAUCUCGAGUCCGAUAGAGGUGGGUGGAAUUCCUAGUGUAGAGGUGAAAUUCGUAGAUAUUAGGAAGAACACCGGUGGCGAAGGCGGCCCACUGGAUCGGUACUGACGCUGAGGUGCGAAAGCGUGGGGAGCAAACAGG
rnacentral:rRNA from 1 species